rnacentral:rRNA from 1 species
UACGGAGGGUGCGAGCGUUGUCCGGAUUUAUUGGGCGUAAAGAGCUCGUAGGCGGCUUGUCGCGUCGAAUGUGAAAUCUCAGGGCUCAACUCUGACAUUGCAUUCGAUACGGGCAGGCUAGAGUUCGGUAGGGGAGACUGGAAUUCCUGGUGUAGCGGCGAAAUGCGCAGAUAUCAGGAGGAACACCGGUGGCGAAGGCGGGUCUCUGGGCCGAUACUGACGCUGAGGAGCGAAAGCGUGGGGAGCGAACAGG